rnacentral:rRNA from 1 species
CGGUAGCACAAGAGAGCUUGCUCUCUGGGUGACGAGCGGCGGACGGGAGAGUAAUGUCUGGGAAACUGCCUGAUGGAGGGGGAUAACUACUGGAAACGGUAGCUAAUACCGCAUAACGUCUUCGGACCAAAGUGGGGGACCUUCGGGCCUCACGCCAUCAGAUGUGCCCAGAUGGGAUUAGCUAGUAGGUGGGGUAAUGGCUCACCUAGGCGACGAUCCCUAGCUGGUCUGAGAGGAUGACCAGCCACACUGGAACUGAGACACGGUCCAGACUCCUACGGGAGGCAGCAGUGGGGAAUAUUGCACAAUGGGCGCAAGCCUGAUGCAGCCAUGCCGCGUGUGUGAAGAAGGCCUUCGGGUUGUAAAGCACUUUCAGCGAGGAGGAAGGGUAGUGUGUUAAUAGCACAUUGCAUUGACGUUACUCGCAGAAGAAGCACCGGCUAACUCCGUGCCAGCAGCCGCGGUAAUACGGAGGGUGCAAGCGUUAAUCGGAAUUACUGGGCGUAAAGCGCACGCAGGCGGUUUGUUAAGUCAGAUGUGAAAUCCCCGCGCUUAACGUGGGAACUGCAUUUGAAACUGGCAAGCUAGAGUCUUGUAGAGGGGGGUAGAAUUCCAGGUGUAG